rnacentral:rRNA from 1 species
GACGAACGCUGGCGGCGUGCCUAAUACAUGCAAGUCGAACGCUGAAGUAGGAGCUUGCUCUUCUGGAUGAGUUGCGAACGGGUGAGUAACGCGUAGGUAACCUGCCUGUUAGCGGGGGAUAACUAUUGGAAACGAUAGCUAAUACCGCAUAACAGUAGAUGUUGCAUGACAUUUGCUUAAAAGGUGCAAUUUCACCACUACCAAUUGGACCUGCGUUGUAUUAGGUAGUUGGUGGGGUAACGGCUCACCAAGGGGACGAUACAUAGGCGACCUGAGAGGGGGGUCGGCCAACAUGGGAAGGAGGCAACGCCCAGACUUCUAAGGGGAGGAGCAGGAGGGGAACUUUGGGAAUGGAGGGAAGUCUGACCGGGCAACGCCGCGGGGGGGAAGGAGGGUUUCGGGUCGGAAAGACCUGUUUAAAGAGAAGAAAGAGUGUGAGAGGGGAAAGUUCACGCUGUGACGGUAUCUUACCAGAAAGGGACGGCUAACUACGUG